rnacentral:rRNA from 1 species
GACGAACGCUGGCGGCGUGCCUAAUACAUGCAAGUCGAACGCAGUGGGGACGGGUGAGUAACACGUGGGUAACCUCCCAUCAGAGGGGAUAACACCUGGAAACAGGUGCUAAACCGAUACUGAUGGAUGGACCCGCGGUGCAUUAGCUAGUUGGUGGGGUAACGGCUCACCAAGGCAACGAUGCAUAGCCGGCCUGAGAGGGUGCUCGGCCACACUGGGACUGAGACACGGCCCAGACUCCUACGGGAGGCAGCAGUAGGGAAUCUUCGGCAAUGGACGAAAGUCUGACCGAGCAAUGCCGCGUGAGUGAAGAAGGUUUUCGGAUCGUAAAACUCUGUUGUUAGAGAAGCGUUAUCUAACCAGAAAGCAACGGCUAACUACGUGCCAGCAGCCGCGGUAAUAC